UGGAGAAUGGACGUAAUGGAGCCAAGGAUGGCACCAGGAAGUCACGGGGGCAGUGUUUGCUGCUGUCCAGGCUGGGGGUUGGGGCCCUGGAUUCAAAGCAUCCAUCUGAACAUAUUGUCACCCGUGCAUCCUGAGAGAGACAGCUUCAUGGAGUGGAGGUGUGUGGCCUGGAGGCCCCACGUAGGCCACCAGGCAUGUUUUCCACGAAAACCGAAACUUCUGACGGGAUUACUAACAUUGGGAGAUUUCCGUUUCUUGGACGCCAGUGGAGGGGCUGCACCAGCCUUAAAAGAAAUCAUGUGAGCCUCCACGAAUCAGCAAACAAAGGAGAAAUUAAGGUUCUGCCCACUUUUGUGGUUUUUGCUUUUCUGGAAAGUUUACGUUGUGCAUCCUUAAGUCAUUACGUAACACUGUAUUAAUAAGCAGUUGACUCAGAACUCCAGAGGGCUUCUGAGCUGGUGAAGUCCAUUCAUGUUACUAAGUCUAUUCUUCCUCCCAGAAUAAAAUCUUCCAUCUUCUCUGAGUUAGGCCUUCCUCAUCAGAACCAUUUCUUUUCUCAUUCAGCUCUCUGAGGUUUUCUACUUAUCAUCCAACUGUAGUAUCCACUGAUAAAUUACACGGAUUCACAAUCCAGCCACUUACUUUGUUUCCUCCUAACAUUUGGAAUAAGCUACUUCCUGCACCAGAGCCUCUGUCUGUCAUGCCUUUACCGGAUCUUAUUUUGGGGGGCUGACCAGUUGCCUAAACCCACAUGCACCCUCUCACCUGGGUUCUCAAGAACUUCUAUUUUGGACAUCCACCAAAAAAAAAAAAAAAAUCUUGUUAAGUAAGAUGAACACUUACCUGAUGGCAGAAGCCUGUUGUGCUCAUCAAAACUUUGAGAUAACCAGGGUUCCUGGAAUCUAAAUCUUCCUAUAUAAAAUAGCAGAGUAGCUGAUCAAAUAAGAGUCAGACAAGUAAGGGUCAACUUUGGAAUCAAUAAAUGGGGCUGGACCCAGUCAUUCACCUACAUUCAAACAGCAAAUAGGCUGGGUGUGGUGGCUCACAUCUGUAAUCCCAGCAUUUUGCGAGGCAGAGGCAGGCAGAUCACGAGGUCAGGAGUUUGAGACCAGCCCGACCAACA
rnacentral:lncRNA from 10 species